rnacentral:pre_miRNA from 9 species
CUCUCCUGGCCUGUGAAAUCAAGCGUGGGUGAGACCUGGUGCAGUACAGGAAGGCGACCCAUACUUGGUUUCAGAGGCUGCGAGAA